UCGUUGGUCCUGUGCGAUGCGGCCCGUGAACCCCGUCAGGUCCGGAAGGAAGCAGCGGUAAGCGGCCACCCGCAGGUGCCGCAGGGAAACCUGCGACGG
rnacentral:SRP_RNA from 1 species